UACGUAGGGGGCGAGCGUUGUCCGGAUUUAUUGGGCGUAAAGAGCGUGUAGGCGGCCAGGUAGGUCUGCUGUGAAAACUCGAGGCUCAACCUCGAGACGUCGGCGGAAACCAUCUGGCUAGAGUCCGGAAGAGGAGGGUGGAAUUCCUGGUGUAGCGGUGAAAUGCGCAGAUAUCAGGAAGAACACCCGUGGCGAAGGCGGCUCUCUGGGACGGUACUGACGCUGAGACGCGAAAGCGUGGGGAGCGAACAGG
rnacentral:rRNA from 1 species